AGAGCGAACGCUGGCGGCAGGCCUAACACAUGCAAGUCGAACGGACCCUUCGGGGUUAGUGGCGGACGGGUGAGUAACACGUGGGAACGUGCCUUUUGGUUCGGAAUAGCUCCUGGAAACGGGUGGUAAUGCCGAAUGUGCCCUUCGGGGGAAAGAUUUAUCGCCAUUAGAGCGGCCCGCGUCUGAUUAGCUAGUUGGUGAGGUAAUGGCUCACCAAGGCGACGAUCAGUAGCUGGUCUGAGAGGAUGACCAGCCACAUUGGGACUGAGACACGGCCCAAACUCCUACGGGAGGCAGCAGUGGGGAAUCUUGCGCAAUGGGCGAAAGCCUGACGCAGCCAUGCCGCGUGAAUGAUGAAGGUCUUAGGAUUGUAAAAAUUCUUUCACCGGGGACGAUAAUGACGGUACCCGGAGAAGAAGCCCCGGCUAAACUUCGUGCCAGCAGCCGC
rnacentral:rRNA from 1 species